UUUUUAUUUUCCGAGGUUACCUUCUGUUUUUCUUCUGUCAGUUUAGAUUGUUUGGCAUUACUAGUUUCUUUAAUAAUUUCUACCAUACCCUUUCAGCUCUUUAUUGAAGGGGAAAUGUUUUUUGAUCUUUUCUCAUGUGAGAAGGGGGUGACUUCCUUGUUUCUUGUAUAAUACGACGCGCGCAUGAACUGUAUCAGAUGUUUUGCAGCACCACGUUCGAAUGCUCGCAACAGGGAAGGCAUAUAAUAAAGAGAAUGGAGCAAGAUUCUUGUCUAUGGAGGGAAGCAAUGCUUGAACUUUCCUUGUGAUUUGCUUUAAUAAGAAUCUUUUGCCUUGUGAAACUCCAAAUGCUGUACAGCUAGAAAUUUUAAAGAGAAUGGGGCAGGAACAGAUUCUUGCCUACUGUUCAAACUCGUGUUAUGUUCUUUUCUUCGUUUAGGGCUCUUCGCUUCAAGUCCAUGGUAUUCUUGCCUGUGUUCUGAUUUCCUUCUUGUACCCAUGCAUGCCGCCCUAGACUUUCGCUGAAAAAAAGAUUCCUCAGCAGUCAUAUAUGCAGAAAGAAGAGAUAGCAGCCUCUUUCCUCAUCUACUUUCUGAUCAUUCAAAACAUAGAAGUGCUUCCUUCAGUUUUUUGUUUGUUUGUUUGGAAGACCCAAAUUCUCAUGAGGACGGAGACAAUAGCUGCAGGUUAAUGGCAAUGGUAUUGUGGGCUAGUAUAAUUGAAUCAUGGUUAAACACCAGACAAAAAUGAAGAAAUUGCAUGCUUGAUUCCAUAAUAAUCAAUGCUUCAAGUCUUAAGUAACCAACUGAUCACUGAAAGGAUUGAAGUUGAUGGAAUCCAGGGGCAAGAAAGGAGUGAUCAAUGGCUAAAGAGAAGCCCACUAUGGAACACUUUGCCUUGCCGUUUUAAAGUUCAUCCUCCUUUAGUUAUUCUGUGGGAAAAAAAGGAGAGGGAAUCGGUGCUCGAACUUGCCUUAUGGUCCAACUAUUUUACAAUUUGUUUUAAAUAAGAAGGUAAGAACCCAAGAACAAUAUUACAAGGCUCUGAUUUAUCCAAAUGCUGUACAGCUAUAAUUAAAGAGAAUGAGCCAGGAACAAAUUCUCGCGUUCUCUGUUCGACGUCAUGUUGUGUUCUUUUCUUCUUUUUAAUGUUCUUCACUUCAAGUCCAUAAUAUUCUUUAUUCCAAGGAAUGAGAAAUUGUUCGGUCCUUCUGCAUUUCUCUUUCAAUAACCAAUCUUGUGUUUCCAUUGAAAUUUCCUGGAGCAUAAUAAUCAAUUUGGUUUUAGAAGUAGUUUUAAUUUUCAGUCUUCUUCCUCAGAUUUUCCCUGCAAAUAUUGUGCUUUCUCAGCAAAUCUGUUGUAUGCUUCUUGUCUUUGGAAAUCCUGGGGUUUUGCAUAGAUAUUAUACAGGCUCGUCAGUUUUUUUUGUAGCGUGCAUUUUACUCUAAGGGCGUUGGACACCCUGCAAGUAGAAUCAGCUCUAAACUUGUAUGAAUCCUAAUUCAUCUAUGAGAUUGACUUAAAUUCUCCUGAGUUUUCCAGGGU